CACGUAGGGCGCAAGCGUUGUCCGGAAUUACUGGGCGUAAAGGGCGCGUAGGCGGCCUUCUAAGUCAGACGUGAAAUCCCCCGGCUUAACCUGGGAACUGCGUCUGAUACUGGAAGGCUUGAGUGCGGGAGAGGGAUGUGGAAUUCCAGGUGUAGCGGUGAAAUGCGUAGAUAUCUGGAGGAACACCGGUGGCGAAGGCGGCAUCCUGGACCGACACUGACGCUGAGGCGCGAAAGCUAGGGUAGCAAACGGG
rnacentral:rRNA from 1 species